rnacentral:rRNA from 1 species
CGGAGGGAGCUAGCGUUGUUCGGAAUUACUGGGCGUAAAGCGCGCGUAGGCGGCUUUGUAAGUCAGGGGUGAAAUCCCGGGGCUCAACCCCGGAACUGCCUUUGAAACUGCAUCGCUUGAAUCCGGGAGAGGUGAGUGGAAUUCCGAGUGUAGAGGUGAAAUUCGUAGAUAUUCGGAAGAACACCAGUGGCGAAGGCGGCUCACUGGACCGGUAUUGACGCUGAUGUGCGAAAGCGUGGGGAGCAAACAGGAUUAGAUACCCUGGUAGUCCACGCCGUAAACGAUGAUGACUAGCUGUCGGGGGCCAUGGGCUUUCGGUGGCGCAGCUAACGCAUUAAGUCAUCCGCCUGGGGAGUACGGCCGCAAGGUUA